CCCCAGCAUCCCUUAAAACCCGGAAAACAUUGAAAAAGAAAAUGAAAAGAAAGGAAUCAGCAUAAACAGUUCCAAAUAUAAAAAACCUGAAAAGAAAAGCUAAAAACAAGAUCCACCUCGAACACCUCUCCCCCCUCUUCUCUCUCUUCCUUCUCUGUCUUGUCUCCUACUCGUCCUCCCUCAACGAUAACAGCAGGAGCAGCGACAGCUGAAGAAGAUCAAUAAAAGCCAAGCGCUGUAGGAUUCAAGAUUACCCAUUUCGUAUCCAUGAUCAGAUUAUAAAACCCAAUACCCAAAUAAUGAAAGAAGAAGAACCCAAUUGGUUCUCUCGAUGGGAAGAGGAGCUCCCUUCCCCAGACGAGCUUACGCCUCUUUCCCAAACCCUAAUCACCCCAGACCUCGCUCUUGCCUUUGACAUUCGAAACUCUAAUAGCCCUCAAGGUCAAGGUCCACCACCACCACCACCACCACCUCCUCCUUCCUCCCAACCCCUUUCUGCCGAGUUCGACUCGGCCGAGUUAGGGUCCGCCACCGCCGGAGACGAGCCAGCUCGGACCCUUAAGCGGCCUCGCUUGGUAUGGACACCUCAGCUGCAUAAGCGCUUCGUUGAUGCAGUUGCCCAUCUCGGGAUCAAGAACGCAGUCCCCAAGACGAUAAUGCAGUUGAUGAGUGUUGAUGGGUUGACUCGGGAGAACGUUGCGAGUCACUUGCAGAAGUACAGACUUUACCUCAAGCGGAUGCAGGGGCUGUCUGCGGGUAACGGUGGUGGUGGUGGUGGUGCCGGGGGAUUGUCCCCCACUGACGCUGCAACGGAUCAUUUGUUUGCGAGCUCUCCGGUUCCAAGACAGCUCUUGCAUCCCGGCCCUCCGGGAUCAGAUCACUUCUUGGUGGCGUUGCAGCAGCAACACCAGCACCAGAUGGCAGCAGCGGCGCUAGCGGCACAGCAACAGCAAUUUCAUCAGAGGCAGAUGGGGCAUUUUGGGUCGCCGCCGGGAGGGCAAUUCGAUCACGGGUUUUUUUCACGGCCGGCUGUGAAUAGGAUGGGAGCGGCAAUGCCGGCGCAACCGCCAGCGUAUGUAGAGGAUUUGGAGUCUGCUACAGGUGGAGGAGGUGGGAGGACGGUUCUUACUCUGUUUCCUACUGGGGAUGAUUGAAAGCCUUUGGUAAUUAUCGCCUUUCUCUUUUGGUUACUUGUUGGGUCUUGUGGAAUUUAGUUGGAGUCUGGAGAAUUGGGGGCUAAUUGGGUUUGGUUCAAUCUAGGGUUCUAGUUAUUUUAGUAUUAGUAGUAGUAGUAGUAGUUGCUGCUGUUGUUGUUGUUGUUAAUGUUGGUUACAGAGGUAAGAAUAAGGAUGCCGUGGAAGUCAAAAUUUCCUUUCCAGAUCCUAGAAUUGCCUAUGCUCUACACUUCUGCUUCGGUUGUUGACUGCUGGUUCAGAUUCUGGGUGCCUUAAGUGAUUACAGUUGGUGGGUAAUGUCAUUCCAGAGAUUUAUUUGCAGUGUCUGUCAUGGUUUGCGUUCUGCUAAUCAUUUUUGGGUGACUGAUAAUUUUACUCAUGAUGUCACGUAUGGGGGUGAGUGGUUUUAAGCUUGUAAAGACCAUAAUAACAGUGUUGUGUUGGGGCCUAUCUUUAUCUCUUGGGGAUUAAUUUAUAGCUGCUUUUUUCAUUAUUAAGUGCCAACAAUUUUCCUAGAAUUUGAGCUUGUGGGUAUGCAGAUGGUGUUAGAGGGUGCAAUUCAGUUUUGAGAAUGCUUCGGAGCGUGUUGGUGUCCAUGUCAUAAUCAUAAGCUACUAAGUUUCGGGGAAGUUCCCUCAUAACUGUGUAAUCUCAUUCUUAUACCUUGAUUUAAUUUGUUAUUGGUAGAGGAGAGGGAUUUGAACCAUGGCAUUCUUUCCAGUUGAUGUAAAUUGUGUGAUUAGGAGACCCCCUAUAUUAGGGGGAACUUGUCAGAGAAUUCUGAUGCUAUUUAAAUAUUAAGUGUAAUUCAAUGCUCUAAGAAUUUCAGUUGUAAUGUGAAUUUUCUAAAUUGAUCAGCUCAUUCACU